rnacentral:rRNA from 1 species
UACGGAGGGGGCUAGCGAUGUUCGGAAUUACUGGGCGUAAAGCGCACGUAGGCGGCUUGGUAAGUUAGAGGUGAAAGCCUGGAGCUCAACUCCAGAAUUGCCUUUAAGACUGCCGAGCUAGCAGGUGAGAGAGGUGAGUGGAAUUCCGAGUGUAGAGGUGAAAUUCGUAGAUAUUCGGAAGAACACCAGUGGCGAAGGCGGCUCACUGGCUCAUACUGGACGCUGAGGUGCGAAAGCGUGGGGAGCAAACAGG